ensembl:lncRNA
CACCAUUUUCUGUUACUAUAAUAGAAUACUCACAUUUGGGUAAUUUAGAAAUAAAAAAGAUUUAUUUUAGCAUACGGUCUGGAGGGCCACGAGCACGACAGUGGCAUUUACUUGCUUGGCUUCUGGUGAGAGUCUCAUGCAGAAAACAGGAAGGCAGAUGGGCACAUGUGGACAGGAGGAGAGGGACAGAGGAACCAACCUUCUGACAAUAACAUAAUACACUCACACGAGAACUGAUCCAGCCCCAUUAGAAAGGUGUUAAUCCCUCUUCAAGGACCUGCCUCCCAACACCGCUAUAUCAGCAACCAAACUGCAACAUGAGUUUUGGCAGGGAAGAAACUUAUCCACACCAUGGCAGAGGCCAAUCUAUAAUGCAGUUUAAUUUCUUUUUGAGCAGGGUGUAAAGUGUAUUCAUGUUUUAAAACCAAAAAUAGGGGGGGAGAUCUCAUUCCACCAUUCCUAGGCUCUCUUAAUUGGCUACUAGUCAAGAAAAACCCAAUAAGUUAGUUUGUUGAACCUAAAGAUAUUAGGAUCCAAAAUAUCUAUAACUAUAAUAGCCUUAGUAAUAUUCCAGUACAUUAAUUACCUGUGAAUGCUGACUUAGUAUCCAUAGUAAUUGUAAAAAGUUCCUAUUUUAUGCUUACCACUAUUCUAACCUAUUUUAUAUAUUAUAUAUUUUUCAUUUGCCUUUACUUGGUCUAUCAUAAAUUGCAGAUGCAAAUAAUAUGCACACACACACACAUUUGCCCCUCCUAUUCAUAUUUAUUUGAAAGUAUUGGCCAUAGUAGGUUCAAUAAUUUCUAAGUCCUCAAUUUUAUUCUCUGCUUUCAAAGACUGCACAAAAAUUUGUGAUGGCCAAGAUGAUAUUCUGCUCUAUUAUAGGUGUUGAAGAGGUGAUGUUAGACUGUUCCCACAGAGUUUAUACACUAAGGAAGCAGACAUGGCUACCCAAGCCACUUUGUACAGACUCCUUGAACUAUGUGGUGUGCCCCUGGUCAGUCCUUCUUUCUGCGGCCAGAAGUCUUUCUUUCCAAGACCACGUUUCUCAUGGAGAGGCUGCUCCUUUCAAGGCCCCCGAGCUGCUACAGGGACAGAGGGAAGAUAGGUGGCCAAAUGCAUCACAGGCAAGAUGCAGGUGUUCUGGGGGGAUGGGAUGGGGGCCCAGUGCCCACCCAGCCCCAGGGGCCUGGUUCUCACCUCAGAGGCAGAGUGGGUUUAAGAAUGUUCCCAGCUCUGGAGAAGGGUGGAUUGCCUCAUGGAGGCCCAGUUUCCACACCUGCAGAGUGGGCUAGUUGAUCAGGUUGUUACAACACUCAAACAGAAGCAUUAAGAAAGCUGUGGGUAACAGCCUGGGUGCUGGCACCAAUGCAGCAUAAAGCAAGAGCCCCAAGGACCCAACAGGCCCUUGGCACACAAGGAUGGAGCUAGUUGCAGCAAUACUGUUGCCAAUGGUCAUAAAUUAGAACCAAGAUGAAUGCUCAGUUGAAGUGGAUAUGAGACAAGAAAGCAUUAAAUUGAAAUGAGUAUCGAUGCUUAUUUAAUGACUUGAAAAGAAAUUCAGUAUAUGCAUGUCACAGUGCUAGGGUUUGGUUACAGCUCAGUAAUGUAUCAAGGAUCUAGGGUAGAUAUUUCCACUCUAUCCUCCUUAUCUAUGGCCUUUGUCCAUAGAUUUGUUUCCCCAUGGUCACAGGAUGGCUGCUAUGACUCCAUGUAUCACAAGAUAGAGAGGAUGGAACCAGUCAUGUAUGUUACUUUUGUCAGUAAAAUGAAGGUUUUUUCAGAAGUCACAGCAGACUUUCCUUCUUACAUCUUUUGCCAACAAUGGGUGUCAUAGUUAUUGCUAGAAAGCAAACUUCUGGCUUUCUAGGCUCUAGGACUGGAGGCAGCAAAGGCUAAGGGAGGUACAGGUAGCAUCAGACUGGUCAGAUGUGGCAAUUGUGCUGGGUCUGCUUGCGGGACCGCAGAGUAGCAGAGGCGACUGCCAUCUAACUUUGAGUUUCUCCUGGGCAGAUACACGUCUACUCCCUAGGGAUGACCCUCUACUGGGCCGCUGGAUUCCAUGUCCCGCCAAGCCAGGUUUGUAGACGAGGAUGCCAGUCAUGACUCAGUUUAGUGACACAAGUCAGAGCUGGAGGGCAAACAGAAGAGUCACUUGUCUUUGCUCAGAGGGAGCAGCAGCCCCUACAGUUCUGCCAGCCCCUGCAUGACCUGCUGCUGGCCAUGUGCGAGGACCAGCCCGGCAGGCGGUGCCUGCUGCAUGCCAUCCUGGAAGCCUGUCAGGCCCAUCAGGAGGAAGUGGCUGCAUACCCAGCUCCUGCCAGCCUUCAUGUGCAAUGGCUGGUGGGCUUGGUUCUGGGCACCAUCUCUGAGGUGGAGAGAAGAGUUGUGGAAGGAGAUGCCUACACACUGCAGAGCAGAAGCUACCUGCUCAGGAAGAGGCUGCAGCCACAGAGAGGCAGAAGCCCCGAGGCACAGGCCCUGGACUGUGUGCAGCCCCACAGAGGUGUGUCUGUGGAGAUCUGGAACUCCCCGCGUGGGCCAGGGUCCCCUUCCCUGACCCUUGUCCUGGGCAGGCAGACACUCUGUGCAUGCAGCAGCAAACAAAGUCCCUGGAGAAAGGGGGCUGAGCUCCAGUGCCCCCAGGAUGAUUUUAACAAUUUAACUCUCUAUUUAUAUCAAAUGUGAACUCUCUUUAUAGAAGUCUAACUGUCCAAGUGGAUGAGAACAGAUUAAAACAAGCAAGAAAAGAAGAAAAACUUUUAACAAUUACUUUCCAAGUGAAAUGAAAGAAAAAGUAACUUGUAAGAGUUUUUUUUUUUUUGGUACCGGAGAUUGAACUCGGGUCCUUGCACUUGCGCAGCAGGUGGCAAAACCACUGAGCUAAAUCCCUGGCCGGUAAAAGUUUUGAAAAAUAUUUUUGUUACUAUUUCAAGUAUCUUAAAAGAGUAGCUUUUAAAAUAACCUUAGCCAGGUGGUGCAUGCCUGUAAUCUCUGCACUGGGGAAGCUGAAGCGGGAGGAUCAUCAUGUAGUCUGGGCUAUAGAGUGAGUUCAAGGGCACCCUGAACUACAUGACUCAAAAACAAAAACAGAAGCAAACAAACAAAAAGCCCUUCAAAUCCUCUACUUAUCUCUACUUUUCAACUGAAUCUGAACUUGCUGCCCUUUUCCCUCUCUUCCUCCCUCCUUCCCUCUCUCCUCUUUCUUUCUUUCUGUCUUUCUUUCUUUCUGUCUGUCUUUCUUUCUUUCUUUCUUUCUUUCUUUCUUUCUUUCUUUCUUUCUUCAUUCCUUCCUUCCUCCCUCUCUCUUUCUUUCUUUCUUUUUUUCUUUCUUUCUUUCCUUUUGUGUCCCACUGCUCUUUGCCAUUAUGCUUUAUGUCCUCUGUAAUGCUGUUUCCACCCCCGUGACUAUCUUUUUCAUCUUUUACAUGAGAAUACAGGCUCAGAGAGGUUCAGUAAUCUCCCCAAGGGUGCACAGCCAAUAAAUCAUGGUGUUGGGCCUGAUUUUUAGCUCAGUGAUUUCGUUGCCUGCUGCACAAGUGCAAGGACCCGAGUUCUAUCCCUGGUACCAAAAAAAAAAAAAAAAUCAUGGUGUUACCCAAGCUCCUGGCUGCCUGGUUCAUGGAAACCAUGUCCUUUGCGCCCAGCUGUGCCUCCACCAUACUGUUUGGUUAGUUUCAGAGCAAAGCACAGAGAUGCAGAGCCACCAGGUGCCCCGCUGGAGCAGCUCAACACAUAGUCACUGCAGCCUGUUUGAGAACAGGUGAGCCAUAAGGUGAUAGCCCAGGGACCUGGUACAGGGCAUUGGCACUGCAGCUAUGCAUAUCCUGCUUCUUUGCUGGUCACACUGAGAGGCCUCCUGUCCUCCAGCAAAUCCCAGUGCUGCUGCAUCAGCAAAGGAAGAAGGCAGGCUCACACAGGUGUCGAGGGGCCCUAUGUCUAAUGGGAACCGAGCCUCACUUGGCUCAGGGAUGAGAACUAGGCCUUGGUGUGGAUACAGUUGUCCAUGGCCACACUUGGCGGCAAGGCAAAUGGCCAGUGUGACCCACUUACUGGGCUCAAGGUCUGUGGGUUGGGGACCCGGCUCUGCUUCCCUGGAGGACUCUGCUGUCCGAUGGGUGCCAUCCUGCAUGGGUAGCCAGCUGAGCUCAGCUGGCAGCUUAGUGUCAGGGAACCCUGGCCCUUCUCUACCAUCAGCCAGGCUGGGACAGCUGUUAGGACAGUGGCGGGGGGGGGGGGGGGAAGAAGCAAGGCAAGUAGGGAGGGGGAAAGAGAGAGGGGAAAGAGAGAGAAGAGAAAGGAGUUAAAGAGCUUCCAGAAUGGGUUCUCCACCACUUCUACCUCACUCCUUUGGCCAAAUCAGGCCUUGAGAAGUUCAGCUGAGCAGGUAUGCUGGCACAUGUCUGUAAUCCUAGCACCUGGGAGGCUGAGGCAGGAGGAUUGCCACGAGUUCAAGGCCAGCCUGGGCUAUAUAGUAAGACACUAUCUCAAAAAACAACUACAAUGAAAAGUUUGGCCCAGAUUCAUGGGGUUGGGAGCUGGACUCCAUCUUUGGGUGGGAGGAACAAAGUCACUGCAAUGGGCAGGGAUGGGGAGAAGAAUUGGGGUCUUUUCUGCAGUCAGUCUAAUCCUGGUGCUUAGAUCAAAUCCCAUCGAGUCCUGUAUCUUCCUGGAGCUGAGACACUGUGCGUUUGAGGUUUGAGGAUUUGCUGAUUUUCGUAUGGAUUUGGGAAGGCCAGCGAUGGUGUCUUGUCUUUGUGUGGUCCAGUGGGUCCAUGCAUGGGGUCACAUCUACAGCUGGGCCUUGACCAGAUGUUAGAGCCCACCUCACAGUCAUUCUUUCUGCUGCUUAAAACCAAUAGAAACAGCCAAUAAAGACAGUGUCCCUAACACUCUAAUUAAAUAUAGCCUCCAGGACUGGUGAUUUAGCUCAGUGGUUCCAGCGCCUGCCUCCAAAGCGCAAGGUCCCGAGUUUGAUACCUGACACCAAAAAAACCCCCCAAACCCCCCCGAAAAACCCAGAUUCCAGCCCUUAAUGGUGGGACCGUGCUGAGAGAGCAUCAUUAGGUGAUUAUGCAGACCUCAGUGCACAAUCACCUAGGUCCUAUGGCACACACACACACGUGUACAUACAUGUGUGCACAUGCAUGUGUGAAUACAUAUGAUACAACCAAAUGCUGCUAGGUUCACAGUGGACAGAACAGCCUCAUAUUACCCACAGAUUAAGAGAAAAUGAUCAAUCAGGAGCUGCAGGAGGUACUGCCACAAGCCAAGGCAGACUUUCACAUGGGAAACCUUAAUAACUAUAAGAAUGCAUUCAAAAACAACAGUGAAUAUUGUGGUAUUAUAAAUACAUAAACCAAUAACAUUGCCAGGUCUGAUCACUGCCCAUGACCAUAAUGGUGCUGCAUGGCUGUAAGGGAUUGUAUCUUGCUGUCUUUUUAUGCACUUGGCAGCUCAGUGGGUUUGUGUACACCAGCGUCCCCACAGACAGAAGGUGUGGUGCUUUGACCUCACAGUGGCUUUGACCUCACCAGGUGAUGGGACUUUUUCAGCUCUAUUAUAGUCCUGUGGGACCACUGUCACACAUGCAGUCUACUGUUGACUGAGACAUUAUUAUGCAGUGCAUCACUGCAGGUUGAUUGUCAAAACAUUUUGAACAAUAUAUAAAAUUUGAAGGAAGGAAAUCAGAAUCCCUGGUAUUUUCAUGAUGUACUCAGAGGUUACUGGGGACCUGGGCCCAUAGCACCCACAGCAUAGAGGCAGAGUCCUGGGGUAGGGGAGAAGCAAACACCUGAGGGUGUCUGGCUUUAGCUUCCUCUGACCUUGAUUUCCCCAUCUGAAAAGCAGGUGCGGUCCUCCCCUGUGGAUGUGAUAACUUCCUGGCGUGUGCGGGAUGACGAGGGUGUGAAAAGUGGGUGCACCCUGCCCUGCUGAGUGCCUGCAUGUGAUGGCAGUCACAGGACAGGAUGGGCAUCACCACCCUGCUCCUUGCCCCUCCUGGCUGUGGCCAGCACUCUUGCAGGCACAGCACCCCUCAGGCAGCAGGACAGGGGGUGGCUCAGCUUGGGAUCUGUGCUCCUGGCAGAAGCAGAGAGCUCACUGCCAGCGAUGACCCAGCAGAGUUCCCUACAGAGGAAGGGAAAGGUGAGCAGAAGAGACUCUGGGGCCUCUGUAGGGGGGUUGGGCAGCACUGUGGUACACAGGCUGAAGGUGGGCAGGGUCCUUGGGGACCGGAACCCCAGGCCACUAUCCAUAGAAUGGAUGACUGCAAACCUGAAAUGUGCAGUCCUGCUUAGUAUUAGCUGAGUGUCCUCCCUGGGCUGGGCUUUGCCGUCCAUGCCACAGCUUGAUGCCCAAGUGCCACCUGUGAUGACAGUGACUUGGCAGAGUGCAUGUGCCACAGCCACAGAUGUGGGACAGCUAGGCCUUCUCUGGGGUGGGGGGAGAUGUCCUAUCUGGUUGGUAAUGAUGGGCAGUAGUGUUAGGAGAAUAAAGGUGGCAGAAGGGUUAGGGCCCUACACUGCUCAUGGGCAGCCAAUCUUGGCCGAGGGCUCUGUGCUGCAGGUGCAAUCCAGCGGGGCCAGGAUGCACUGUCUGCCACAGGCCAUGCCACAUGAAGUGGGCAGAAUAAAGCACCUUCUUCAGAACAGAACACUACCAUUAGCUGAUGCUCACAGUGACCGCAGGGGAUCGGUGCCCCUGGAGCUGGGAGGAGCUCCCUCCCCAAGCCACAGGGUGUUCACUGAGGAGCUGCCCCUUCCCCAGCCUCUGUCUCACCAUCCAGGACCCUUUGUGAUCUCAGACCAGAAGGACCUUCUGUGUCCUCAGAAGGUUUCUGUUUGUCUGCCCAUUGCAGGAAGGUUUGCUUAAAGCUUCUCAACAGAUCAGAGCUGAGAAGAGCCCAUACAGCCUCAGAACAUCCCUCUCCAUGUUCCCACAUGCCCUACCCUGUUCUCUGCUAUCCUCAACAUCACUCUGGCCUUCACGGCCCUGAGGAGGGGUUGCCAGGGAUUCCCAGAGGCCUUGAGAUGCUGGGGCCUGGGAAUUUUGGAGCCACGGUGGGGGCAGGAGCAGUAGCAGAGGACAGCUGCUGCCUCCCCUCCAGUCUUUGUCCUCUGAGGACUCCAGGACACAGCACAGCCCCUGGGUGGGAUUUUGGCUUCUUGGGGUAGGAGCCCUGCUGGGUGGCCCCCUAUCACUCGCUGGUUCUGUGACUCCAUGAGCUUUUUUUUUUUUUUCCAUACUGGGAUCGAACUUGGGUCCUUGCGCUUGCAAGGCAGGCGGUGGAACCACUGAGCUAAAUCCCCGACCCUCCAUGAGGUUUUUAUUCUCUCGGAGCCCCCAUUUCCUCAGCUGUAAAGCUGAGAACAUGUGUCCCAGGCGGUGCCCAAGGCUGAGGACAGAUGAGGGUGGGGCCAGUUUUUCUAUCUUGGUCCCAAGUGUGAGGCAGAUGGACUGAACUGUGGUACCCAGGCCAGACACUGCCCAUGUGCACUGUUGAGUUUGUGCUCGAGGGAGCAAGCAUUUCCCCAUCUAACCCUAGAGCAGUUGGGUUUUUUUCUUUUUAUUGCACAGACGUAUAUUUUUACACUGCAUUUUACACUUGGAAAAUCACACAACACUGUGUGACUUAGGAAGUGCUAAGGAUGCAACCCUCCCUGUUGUGUGCCUCUCGGGAGUCAGGACAUCAUUAGUCUCCUUCCCCAUCCCAUUCAGCUUCUGCUGGGGACAUUGACUUGGCCGGCUGGCCGGGGCCUUAGUAACUCCUGUCUUUUUCUGGCUCUGGGGCAGAGGGCUAGGGAAGGGGAGGGAGAUGAGCUCAUAGGGGAAGCACCUCCCCUCCUCUCCAGUGAGUGACUGACUGUUUUCCAGUUCUCCAGGCCAGAGUUCCUCCUGCUGGCUAGCAAGGCCCCUGUGAUGCUGCACCUGCCUGGAUCAGUUGUGAUUUAAAAGGGGAAAUCCUACUUGGCUCUCAGAGACAUCUGUGUGGUCCUGCUGAGUGGGCAGUGUCUGCAGGUGAAGUGCGACAUCGAGUCCACAGCAGGAGCUGUCUUUGAUGCCUUCAUGCCCUUUGCCAACCUUGGAGAUAUCACCUACUUCGGCUCGGCUUAUAUGAAAGGCACAGCUUGACCAGGCAUCAGUUCUACCUGCAGCUUCGUAAGGACAUUCUGGAGGAGAGACUGCACUGUGAUGACGAGACACUGCUGCAGCUGGGUGUCCUUGCCCUGCAGGCUGAGUUUGGCAGUUACCCAAAGGAGCAGGCAGAGAGGAAGCCGUAUUUUUGAGUUGAAGAUUACAUCCCUGCCACUCUGAUCAAAAGGAUGACUGCUCUCUGAGUCCAAGUAGAAGUCUCAGAGAUGCACCGGCUCAGUCCUGCUCUGUGGAUAGAGGAAGCAGAGCUGGAGUUCUUGAGGGUAAGGCCUUCCGGGCCUUGAGGGGUGCUGGUGCUCAAGGGAUGCAGUCAGUGAUCCCCUGGCCUUCCUCUGGGGGCCAGACAGGGUGGGACCUUGAAUAACAGAAGGAAGGAAGCUUUCCUCAUCCCAAGGGGCAAGGAGAGAGGGGAAGCAGAUGGCAUUAGAAGUGACUCUGUAUUGGUCAACUUUCCUUUUGCUGGGACAAAAUGCCUGACAUACACAACUUAAAGGAGGAAGUGGUUUAUUUGGCUAAUAAUUUCAGAGGUUCAGUCCAUCGUUGGCUGGUUCCAAAGCAGGAACAUCAUGGUAGAAGGGCAUGGUGGAGGAGGGUGCUCACUUCAUGGUGGCUGAGAAACAGAGCCCAGGGGAAAAGUGUUAGCAAGGAGUACCCUUUUCCCAGGUUUGCCCCACCCCAUGAUCUGCUUCCUCCAAUGGGGCCCCACAUUCUAACAACACAUUCAGCUGUGAAGGUCAGUGGAUGAAUCCAUUCCAAGAGUCUUUUAACCCAGGCCAGUUGACAAUUAAGAUUAACUGGCACAGGCCCCACAGAAAGGUAGGAUUCAGUGGGCUGGGGUGGGUGCCUGGAGCCUUGCUUCAAACUUAGAGCAUCAUCCCAGCCACUGUUUUGUAGCAAAAAUCACAUUUCUCAGAUGACACAUAGGACAGAACUGAGUGUGAGCCAAUCCAAGCCAUUGGGAAAUCCACAGUGGGUGGCUUCUGGCAGCCGUUCCAAGUGCAGCAUGGGGGUUUGUGUGUAUCUGUGCACAGCAGAGUCUCUCUGUGCCAUUCUCUCUUCACCUUUCCAGCAAAGGCAUUUCCAUGGCCGCUGUCCGUGGGCACCAUGAUGAUGAGCAUCUGGGCUCACUGGCCAUCCUCCCCUCACUGUGCAGGCCCUGCAAGGAACAGAUGAGAAGCAUGUGUUCCUUGGUCCUGGUGAGCCCCAAUCUCAGGAUGACAAUCAGGGCUGCAGUAAGUGCUUGGUGGUAACAAGGACAACACUAGCUACUCUAGGUGGGAUGGAGACAGUGUGGCACUCUGCUGAGGAAUGAGUGAAGGGGGUCCCUGGAUCCCACAGAAUGGGAUAUAUGGAUGUCUUCAGAUUUGGGGAGCAGUUGCAAAAGGAAGCAAAGGGAUCUCCACAUUUCUCUAUACACAAUCUUCUGAAGUUAGGUAGAAAUAUUCUGCUCAUGUUUUCUUGCCUUUAAAAGAGAAGAGCAUUUGGAAGCAGAGUUAUCCAGGUGAGGCCUGGCCUUUUCCUUUUGGCUGGUCACUUAGCAGAACUGUCCCAGCCCUAGCGUGGGGCCAGCCUCUAGGCGCAUCCUGGGAGAGGCAGGGACAGACGCAAUUUUACUGCACAUGGUAGUCUGGCCUCCAUAUAUGCUCCCUUUCAAGAGGACAGAGGUGACUUUACAGCUUUCCGUACAACUGAGCCUGGAGGCCAAGGACCUCACCUUCAGGAGACUCCCACAGUGGGGAUAGGGACACUGUUCACCGGCCUCUCCCAUGCUCAGCCUUGUGUACCAGGCUCUGUCAGUGCCCUCCUCCCAUAAUAGAAUGGGGAAAGAUGACUGGAAAGGCAGACACCAUCUGGGGGCAAAACUGAAGAAAACUCUCCUCCCAGUCCUCCACGGAGAGCACAGUAUGGAUUUGAUCCAUUUGUGUGCUGUGUUCAUAAGUGCCAAAGGACACUGGUUUUUGUGUCCCCCUUGAUGGCGUGGGUAGAGUGGCUGAUGCUGUCUCUGCCUGCCUUGGGUGCGGGAUGAGCUGGAGAGAGCUGUCAGCUCUGAGCACACUGGGACCCUUCUCAGGGUGUGAGUUUGUUAAGCAAAAUCCUUUCCCUCUCUAAUUAUAAAGCAAACAUUUCCUCCUCCAUCUGCCUGGUGGAGCCAACUCACUUGUGUUUUGAUGCAUUCACCCUGCUCUUUAUUCUUCUCAUUCAUAUGCCUAUACAUCUGCAUACAGACUUAAAGGUGGGCUUUUAUCAUGCAUGUGCUUUCAUUGUACAUCACUAAAAUUUUGAAAACUAAUUUUGAUGCAAUACAUAUAAAAUUAAAACUCACCUUUCCAUCAAAUAUAUAUCAAAUACACACAAAAUCUAUACACAUACAUCUACUAUACAUGAAAUACACACAAAAUCUUUAUGUACACACUUAAUGCAUAUUUUCCAUCAAUGCUCUAUUAUUCAACAUGCUAAUUGCCUGCAGUAUGGAACUAUUAUAAACAAUACUGAGAUUAGGAUUUUCUGACGUGAAUCGUUAGCUGUAUUUCUGCUUAAUUCAUUAUGGGUCUGACUUCCUAGGUGGAAUUACAGGUUGAAGAUAACAAGUGGCUUAAACUUUGUUGCUACAUACAGUAUUAAGGAUUUACUCCACAAAGAGCCACUGGAUUAUUUAAUCAUAGCUCUUGGAUCUUCUAUUUCAUUUUGAAAAAAGGAGUCCAUUAACUGGUGGCAGCCUCCUGGCUGGGUCACAGGUCCCUGGCUCUGCCCAUGCAUCACCUCACACUGGCACAGACUGGUCAGUGGCCCAGAUCCAAGAUGCCCUUGACAACAUUAUGCACAUCCGCCUGUUUCCAUUCUGGGUACUCUGUAUUUUAGUUGUUGAGGGCAAAGACUCAGGAGCAAACAGACUCAUGCAUUCGUGUUUCCACUCCUGGCUCCAAAAUGGGAACUUGGGCAGGUUCCUUAGGUCAGAACAAUUUGUCUCUCAGGCAUAUUCAAUGGAAGAAUUUGUCCCUGGAUAGUUGUAAUAAAGCAUACUAAAACCAAAUAUCUAAACAUUACAUUCAUUAAUAAGACAUUGUUCGGAAUGCCUGAGUAGAUCCUCCCCCCACAAAGAGGAGAUGGGAACCUUAAUUCAUCCCACCUGUGGAGCAGGUUGUAGGAUCACUGACUUCCAUCAUGAGUGUCUUAGUUACUUUUCUCAUUGCCAAGACAAAAUAUUCAACACUCAAAGUUAAAGGAGGAAAGGCUUAUUUAGCUUACAGUUUGUAGAGGUUUCAGUUCAUAGUUGGCUGGCUCCAAGGCAGGCUGGCAUGGCAAAUGGAUUCUGCAGAGGAGAAACUGUUCAUGGCAGGCAGAAGGCACCAAGGCAAGCAAGGUACCUUUGCACCUUUUUUCUGCCCCCUUUAAGUACUAUCUAGGCUACUAGGAUUAGGGUGGUGCCAAACCAAUCAGUGGACUGAUUUAGUAAUCACCCAUCCUUAAUCCUAGCAUUGCACCAUGAAUCAAUCACACACUCUAGAUCUAGCCACUUCUGAAAAAGCCCCACCUAUGACCACAUAAGGGUUUGAGGGGACAUCUACACACAAGCCAUAACAAUGGGAAAGCAUUUUGGGACAUGUCUGUGAGAGACAUAGAUCGGGUUAUUUGUUCCUUAGUGUAUAUUUUUUUAACAAUUGUAACCUUGGGUAACUGUGUCCUGAAGUUGUGGUCUUUUUAAAAGUAUAAUUUAAAAUUUAUAAUUUUCCUUGUCUCCUUUCUGCCUAUCUUUAUUUCUUCUGUCCUACCUCAUUCUGAUACAUGCAGUAAAAGAGAAAUUAAAGCAUUAGUUUCAUUUUGAUUUUGCCACAUAAAUUUGGGUCACUAUGAGAUAACAUUAAUACCAUUUCCCUCUCAUGGUCCUGUACUUUGCUUUACAGUUGUUCCAAUAGGACUUGAUGUUUUGGACACAUACACUACUGGAAGUGACAUGAAAUGGAAGUUGCCAUCAUUAGGGGUAACAUGAGCAUGCUGAAAACCAGAGCCUGGAUGUUGUUAUCCAUAGCUAGAGUCCUAGUGAAGGGUAGAGUCAGGCAGAACUGUGCAGUGGAAAAUAUUCAGGAAAGUUUGGG